GCCGCCAUGGUAUUGUAGUGGUAGUGCACUACCUGGAAACCACUCUAGAUGGGACAGUGAUAGUAGGGGGCUAUUUUCUGGAACUUUAGAGGGCUCGGGUUCGAAUCCCGGUGACGGCU